GUUUUGAUAGUUUAUGAAAAUAUUAUAUUGUGGUUAUAAAGAAGAGCUACUCUCAAAACA
rnacentral:tRNA from 1 species